AUUGAACGCUGGCGGCAUGCUUUACACAUGCAAGUCGAACGGCAGCGCGGGCUUCGGCCUGGCGGCGAGUGGCGAACGGGUGAGUAAUGCAUCGGAACGUGCCCAGUAGUGGGGGAUAGCCCGGCGAAAGCCGGAUUAAUACCGCAUACGACCUGAGGGUGAAAGCGGGGGACCGAAAGGCCUCGCGCUAUUGGAGCGGCCGAUGUCGGAUUAGCUAGUUGGUGGGGUAAAGGCUUACCAAGGCGACGAUCCGUAGCUGGUCUGAGAGGACGACCAGCCACACUGGGACUGAGACACGGCCCAGACUCCUACGGGAGGCAGCAGGGGGGAAUUUUGGACAAUGGGGCAACCCUGAUCCAGCCAUGCCGCGUGCGGGAAGAAGGCCUUCGGGUUGUAAACCGCUUUUGUUCGGGAAGAAAUCCUCUGGGCUAAUACCCCGGGGGGAUGACGGUACCGGAAGAAUAAGCACCGGCUAACUACGUG
rnacentral:rRNA from 1 species